ACCUACAGCCAUACCACCCCUAAUGAGCCUGAUCUCGUCUGAUCUCAGAAGCUAAGCAGGUUUGGGCUUGGUUAACACUUGGAUGGGCGAUAUAUAUA
rnacentral:rRNA from 1 species